AAUGGGCGAAAGCCUGAUCCAGCCAUGCCGCGUGAGUGAUGAAGGCCCUAGGGUUGUAAAGCUCUUUCAGCGGGGAAGAUAAUGACGGUACCCGCAAAAGAAGCCCCGGCUAACUUCGUGCCAGCAGCCGCGGUAAUACGAAGGGGGCUAGCGUUGUUCGGAAUUACUGGGCGUAAAGCGCGCGUAGGCGGAUUAUUAAGUCAGGGGUGAAAUCCCGAGGCUCAACCUCGGAACUGCCUUUGAUACUGGUGAUCUUGAGUCCGGGAGAGGUGAGUGGAAUUCCUAGUGUAGAGGUGAAAUUCGUAGAUAUUAGGAAGAACACCAGUGGCGAAGGCGGCUCACUGGCCCGGUACUGACGCUGAUGUGCGAAAGCGUGGGGAGCAAACAGGAUUAGAUACCCUGGUAGUCCACGCCGUAAACGAUGGAUGCUAGCCGUCGGACAGCAUGCUGUUCGGUGGCGCAGCUAACGCAUUAAGCAUCCCGCCUGGGGAGUACGGUCGCAAGAUUAAAACUCAAAGGAAUGCC
rnacentral:rRNA from 1 species